rnacentral:rRNA from 1 species
GACGAACGCUGGCGGCGUGCUUAACACAUGCAAGUCGAACGAAAAGGCCCUGCUUUUGUGGGGUGCUCGAGUGGCGAACGGGUGAGUAACACGUGAGUAACCUGCCCUUGACUGUGGGAUAACUUCAGGAAACUGGGGCUAAUACCGGAUAGGAGCUCCUGCUGCAUGGUGGGGGUUGGAUAGUUUCGGCGGUUGGGGAUGGACUCGCGGCUUAUCAGCUCGUUGGUGGGGUAGUGGCUUACCAAGGCUUUGACGGGUAGCCGGCCUGAGAGGGUGACCGGCCACAUUGGAACUGAGAUACGGCCCAGACUCCUACGGGAGGCAGCAGUGGGGAAUAUUGCACAAUGGGCGGAAGCCUGAUGCAGCAACGCCGCGUGCGGGAUGACGGCCUUCGGGUUGUAAACCGCUUUCGCCUGUGACGAAGCGUGAGUGACGGUAAUGGGUAAAGAAGCACCGGCUAACUACGUG